rnacentral:tRNA from 1 species
GGGCGGCUAGCUCCAACGGGAGAGCGGCUGGCUUGCACCCAGCAGGUUCAGGGUUCGAAUCCCUGGCUGUCCA